rnacentral:rRNA from 1 species
UACGGAGGGUGCGAGCGUUGUCCGGAAUCACUGGGCGUAAAGGGCGCGUAGGCGGCUUCUCAAGCGUGUGGGGAAAGUCCGGGGCUCAACCCCGGAUCGGCCGUGCGGACUGGGGCGCUCGAGUUCUGUAGAGGCGGGUGGAAUUCCGGGUGUAGCGGUGGAAUGCGUAGAGAUCCGGAAGAACACCAGCGGCGAAGGCGGCUUCCUGGACUGGUCCUGACGCUCAGGAGCGAAAGCGUGGGGAGCGAUCCGG